rnacentral:lncRNA from 1 species
CAUUCUUUUCUCAUUUUCUCCUCCUUUCUUUGUUUAGUAAUCUGAGUUUGUAUACCCCUGAAGUGGACCUCAAGCAACAUAGGUCUGGCUUUCUUUGCGAACAUGGAAUAGAGAAAAAGCUAGUUAAAAAUUGACGCGAGUCAGGAAGCUUUUAUUUUUUACGUAGUCGUUGUAGUGGAGUGUUCAAGGCGACGGACAUGUACGACAAUGUGGGGAAUUCCUUGUUUGAAAUCUUCAUAGAGAUUAAGCCAUGGCAAGGCCAAGGAAGAGACAGCUGUUCCUGUUUGUUGAAGGUGAUGUUUUGGAAAACAAGAUCACGAGGUACGUAGAACCAAGUACUGUAUGUUCAUGUUCUCCAUGUAAUGUGGUUGGGGCUUGGCGUCUUCGUAUAAUGCUGAUUCCUGAUGGAUGCCUGACAAGUUGAAGAGGACUCUUGUCUUUGAUAUGGAGGAUACGUCUACAAUUCCAUGGAACAGAGUACACUAGAGGAGUGUACUACAACUGACAAUGGUUAGUCCUGACCAACAGUACAUCGCUCAUGGGGAGCUUGACACAGUUCAGUGGUGCUUCCCAGCUAACUGUAGCCGUUGGUGUAAAUUACAAGAACAAUAACAAACGUCCAUUGCAUCUGUAGUAACUGCCUGGGACAAUACGGUACGAUACGGUACUAUCCUACAGUCCAGGUUUGGUGUUGAAGAGUAGAAUGCAGGGAGAUAAGAAUCUGCAAGUAGUGCCAGAUAAUGCAGUUGGUAUUUCUUUCGGCAUAUCCUUCAAUAUCUUCUCCGCUUCUUUUAGUAGACGGAACGUGAAAUGUCCCCCACUCUUUUACAGGAGAUUUUGCGACUGAUAUCUCAUUAUGAUGUUCUUUUCACCAUUUUGUUUUUUGUUUUGUUUUUGUAUUUUUUGUUUUUUGCUUUUUUUUUCUUUUGUGACUUCAUAGGAAGGAUGAAGCACUAAGUACGUCAUCUGUAUUGAUUGAACCUUGAACAGAGUGAAGACUUGCAUACCUAGAGAUGUCUGUACGUCUUAAAUCAGGUUCUAUACGUAAAAGAUCACCGCUGCAAGGCUCUCAAGGAAUUCUGUGAUUUCUGCGAGGAAGUGGAGAAUGUAACUUUCUACCUCCUCCUUUCAAGUUAGAAACCUGACCACAUUUGGGUGUGAAAAUUGAAUAUCUUUCUGGUCCCAGGCAUGAUCUCCACAGUCUGAGACGAGGUUCUGCUUCCGAGCACUAGUGCAGAAAACAUUGUAUUGUCACCGGAACGUGAAUCUGCACCCAGCAAUCAAUGGUUAGGCCUGUCAUGAACUUUUUAAGGUGGCGAAAUAUUCAGCAACAUUUUCUACUGCCGUGCACUCAAUAGAGCAAUGUUUUGACAACCUUAUCUACGGGACCACAUUCCAGCUUUCAGAGGAUAGAUGGUAGGUGCCGAGGUUAGAACUUUCGCUGUGUUGGCCUGAAUAUCUCUCACGAGCUUUCAAUGCGGGGCAAUUGCAAGUUGUAGUAGCUCUUGAUUACGAAGUGUCAAUGAGAAGGUGACAGAAACAGGCCCUUAAACUCGCACACCGUGUCAGUUCAUGUAAAACUGUAUUUAGUUACUCACAAAACUCCAGGUUUA